CCGAGUUAUCACAACUCCAAACCCAUGUGAAUCAUACCUUUUGUUGCCUCGGCGGCUGAUGAGGAGCGGCGUUCGCGCCCUCCCCUUCUGCCGCCGGUGGACACCCAAACUCUUUUGCAUUUUAUGUCAAUCUGAGUAGACUAUAUAAAUAAGUCA
rnacentral:misc_RNA from 1 species